CAUUCGAAGCUUCCCUCAGGAUAUCUUUUGCUCUAGCAAGACUCCUCCCGAGAGAGGCAGUUUUAUACGGUAAAGCGAAUGAUUAGAGGUCUUGGGAACGAAACGAUCUCAAC
rnacentral:miRNA from 1 species